UACAGAGGGAGCAAGCGUUGUUCGGAAUUACUGGGCGUAAAGGGCGCGUAGGCGGUUCGAUAAGUCCCGUGUGAAAUCCCUCGGCUCAACUGAGGAAUGGCACGGGAAACUGACGGGCUUGAGUUCGGGAGAGGGAAGCGGAAUUCCGGGUGUAGCGGUGAAAUGCGUAGAUAUCCGGAGGAACACCGGUGGCGAAGGCGGCUUCCUGGACCGACACUGACGCUGAGGCGCGAAAGCGUGGGGAGCAAACAGG
rnacentral:rRNA from 1 species